GACGAACGCUGGCGGCGUGCUUAACACAUGCAAGUCGAACGGGCCUGUCUUCUUUUUUGGGGGUGGGUUGAGUGGCGAACGGGUGAGUAUCACGUGAGUAACCUGCCCUUCGGUCCUGGAUAGCCGCUUGAAAGGGCGGCUAAUACGGGGUGGUCCGGUUGGUCCGCAUGGGCUGGUCGGGAUAGAUUCACUGUUUUUGGUGUUUCGGCGGGGGAUGGGCUCGCGGCCUAUCAGCUUGUUGGUGGGGUGAUGGCCUACCAAGGCGGUGACGGGUAGCCGGGCUGAGAGGGGGGGCGGCCACACUGGGACUGAGAUACGGCCCAGACUCCUGCGGGAGGCAGCAGUGGGGGGUAUUGCACAAUGGGCGGAAGCCUGAUGCAGCGACGUCGCGUGAGGGAUGGAGGCCUUCGGGUUGUGAACCUCUGUUUCCGGUGGUGAAGGCCCUGUCCGUGUGGUGGGGUUGACGGUAGCCGGGGAUGAAGCGCCGGCUAACUACGUG
rnacentral:rRNA from 1 species